AGAGUUUGAUCAUGGCUCAGAAUCAACGCUGGCGGCGUGCCUAACACAUGCAAGUCGCGCGCGAAAGGGGGGGCAACCCCCCAAGUAGAGCGGCGAACGGGUGAGUAACGCGUGGGUGAUCUACCUUCGAGUGGGGAAUAACACCGGGAAACUGGUGCUAAUACCGCAUGACAUCCUUGGUUCAUUCUGGGGAUCAAAGCCGGGGACCGCAAGGCCUGGCGCUUGAAGAGGAGCCCGCGUCCGAUUAGCUAGUUGGCGGGGUAACGGCCCACCAAGGCUCCGAUCGGUAGCCGGCCUGAGAGGGCGGACGGCCACACUGGGACUGAGACACGGCCCAGACUCCUACGGGAGGCAGCAGUGGGGAAUUUUUCGCAAUGGGGGAAACCCUGACGAAGCAACGCCGCGUGGAGGAUGAAGGCCUUCGGGUCGUAAACUCCUGUCGACUGGGACGAAAGUAGUCUGACCUAAUACGUCGGGCUAUCGACUUACCGGUGAGAG
rnacentral:rRNA from 1 species